CAGUCGCCACGGUAAUACGGAGGGGGCUAGCGUUGUUCGGAAUUACUGGGCGUAAAGCGCACGUAGGCGGCUUGGUAAGUUAGAGGUGAAAGCCUGGAGCUCAACUCCAGAAUUGCCUUUAAGACUGCCGAGCUAGCAGGUGAGAGAGGUAAGUGGAAUUCCGAGUGUAGAGGUGAAAUUCGUAGAUAUUCGGAAGAACACCAGUGGCGAAGGCGGCUUACUGGCUCAUACUGGACGCUGAGGUGCGAAAGCGUGGGGAGCAAACAGGAUUAGAUACCCGCGUAGUCCCUGUCUCUUAUAA
rnacentral:rRNA from 1 species